rnacentral:rRNA from 1 species
ACACCAAGAAGUUAAGUCAUAUAGAUUAUGGUAAAAAGAUAGUUAGGCGGGGAAAAGCUGGGCUAUUUAAUGUAAUGUAUAGGGGUAAAAUCCAAGUACGAUUAUUUAAUUUAAAGGUAGCUUAGGAGCUGAAUCUAUGAAAUCCUUGAGGGAAACUGGGAUUAGGUACCCCAUUAUUCUUGGAUGUAAAUAGAUGAAGGUCUACCAGAGUACUAUGAAUAAUGUAAAAUUUAAAACUCAAAGAACUUGGCGGUGUUUUAGACCACCUAGGGGAACCUGUCUCGUAAUCGACAAUCCACGUUGCACCUGACCUUUUUUUGUUUUCAGUUUGUAUACCGUUGUCGUCAGGUAACUUUUUAGAAGAGAGAAGUUGGCUAUAGAAAUAUGGUGAUUUAGUACGUCAAAUCAAGGUGCAGCUAAUAAAAGGGGGAGGAUGGGUUACAGUUAUAUAGUUAUAAUAACGGAUAUUUAUAUGAAAGUAUAAAUUAUGAAGGAGGACUUAGAAGUAAAUUGAACUAUGGAAGCAGUUUGAAUGAGGCUCUGAAACGUGU